GUUUCCCUACCACAUCUUUCAGCAUAUUUGAUCCAGAAACCAACCACUUAAUAUGACGUAUGAGCUAGCUGUUAGUAUAUACCAAUGUGUUCCAGGAUUUAGUUAGGACUUUGUAGUGUGUGUUUCUCUCUAUAUAUACCAAUUCUACUCCCACAUAAUACUUCAGUAAAUCAGUACAGUGGAUCAGAUGAAAGUUGAAAUCUGAACAAAAUGAAGGAGGGCACAAAACUCAAAAGGUGUGAAGCACAUAUGCUGAUUAGAUAAUUAGGAGUUGGAGGCACCAAUGGAAACCAUUGGUAACUGGCAUUCAAAAAAGACCAAUAAGUUUGGUGCUUGAACCGAGCGUUGGUCUAAAACUGGGAGAGAUUAACCCAACGAGGAGAAAGAGUUACUACACCCAAAAAGCUAUCUCAAAAGAUGAAGUGGCCAUCCACUUCUGAGUUGGUGCAACUCUCACUUAGUUUCUAAUAUGGACUAUUAGAACAAUCUUCCAGUCACACAUAUCCCUAAGCACUAACGGACCCUACACAAGCACAUACGGGUCUCACAUCUAU
rnacentral:lncRNA from 1 species